UACAGAGGGUGCGAGCGUUAAUCGGAAUUACUGGGCGUAAAGGGCGCGUAGGUGGUAUAGUAAGCUAGAUGUGAAAAUCCUGGGCUUAACCUGGGAGGGUCAUCUAGGACUGUUGAACUGGAGUACGGUAGAGGGUAGAGGAAUUUCCGGUGUAGCGGUGAAAUGCGUAGAUAUCGGAAGGAACACCAGUGGCGAAGGCGGCUACCUGGACUGAUACUGACACUGAGGCGCGAGAGCGUGGGGAGCAAACAGG
rnacentral:rRNA from 1 species